AGCGAACGCUGGCGGCAGGCCUAACACAUGCAAGUCGAGCGAUGAAGCUCCUUCGGGAGUGGAUUAGCGGCGGACGGGUGGAUAACACGUGGGUAACCUGCCUCAUAGAGAGGGAUAGCCUUCCGAAAGGAAGAUUAAUACCUCAUAAGAUUGUAGUUUCGCAUGAAACGGCAAUAAAAGGAGCAAUCCGCUAUGAGAUGGACCAGCGUCGCAUUAGCUAGUUGGUAAGGUAAUGGCUUACCAAGGCGACGAUGCGUAGCCGACCUGAGAGGGUGAUCGGCCACAUUGGGACUGAGACACGGCCCAGACUCCUACGGGAGGCAGCAGUGGGGAAUAUUGCACAAUGGGGGAAACCCUGAUGCAGCAACGCCGCGUGAGUGAUGACGGUCUUCGGAUUGUAAAACUCUGUCUUUGGGGACGAUAAUGACGGUACCCAAGGGGGAAGCCACGGCUAACUACGUGCCAGCAGCCGCAGUAAGAC
rnacentral:rRNA from 1 species